GCUCCGUGCUCGUGCAUCGAACUGUCGACCGCCCAUCGUCUUCAGUGUUUCCCCGAGCGCAAAUCAUGCCUCGCGGGUGCUCUCGGUGUCCUGUGUUGCUUACCGACGUGAUGGAAUUCGAUCGUGUUGUUGCCCCUUUUCGCCCCGCAACCCUAACCAGGGGUGUGGGGUGGACGCCAGGCACGCUACGCGUUCCUCGCAUGCCUUGCUUCGUUGCGGGGCUGUUGAGGCCCGCAGAGCUGUUUGCCCGUUCUCUCGGAUGCGGAAUGCCAUGCACGGGUGCGGGGUUUUUGCCUCCGCUUGCCCGAGCCACGCAUUUGUCCCUUGACGCGAACGACUGUCGCGGCCGUCUUGAUCCCGUCGUGGCCUACGUGCUGCACGGACGUCAUGCGGUCGUCGACGUCAUCGAGGAAUGCUACCUGGUUGAUCCUGCCAGUAGUCAUAUGCUUGUCUCAAAGA
rnacentral:misc_RNA from 1 species